rnacentral:rRNA from 1 species
AUUGAACGCUGGCGGAAUGCUUUACACAUGCAAGUCGAACGGCAGCACGGACUUCGGUCUGGUGGCGAGUGGCGAACGGGUGAGUAAUGUAUCGGAACGUGCCCAGUCGUGGGGGAUAACGUAGUGAAAAUUACGCUAAUACCGCAUACGAUCUAUGGAUGAAAGCGGGGGAUCGCAAGACCUCGCGCGAUUGGAGCGGCCGAUAUCGGAUUAGGUAGUUGGUGGGGUAAAGGCCCACCAAGCCAACGAUCUGUAGCUGGUCUGAGAGGACGACCAGCGACACGGGAACUCAGACACGGUCCAGACUCCGACGGGAGGCAGCAGUGGGGAAUUUUGGACAAUGGGCGAAAGCCUGAUCCAGCCAUUCCGCGUGCAGGAUGAAGGCCCUCGGGUUGUAAACUGCUUUUGUACAGAACGAAAAGGUUUCUACUAAUACUAGGAGCUCAUGACGGUACUGUAAGAAUAAGCACCGGCUAACUACGUGCCAGCAGCCGCCGUAA